CUGAUAAAUGCCAAACUCACUUUUCAUCGUACACUCAUAAAUGCAAAGCUCGUUUUCAACCCUUUUUGGGAAAACGGAGUCACGAGCGUGCUCCGCCCCUCGCAGGUUACUACGAAGGAAAUUCAGGUCAGGAGCGAGGCGGCGCCGAGAAAAGCCCCCUCCAAACGCCCGGGGGUCGUUACAAAGGGAGCACCUAGUUACUCGCCGCUCGUCUCGGCGCCUGGGCCGAACGUCGUUCCUACUAAGGGCAGGGUGCAGACGCUCCGUUUCUCCUCUUCGUACAGUGUAUCGUUUUCCAUUUUAAGGAGAAACGGUUCCUUAAAAACCACCCGGGGUCGGCCAGAGUGCUCCCAGUCCCGCGGGGCUCGCUGUCCGCUCGCUCCCGGACGCGCCGGCGGAGACGCGGAGCCCGCGGCGGCCGCUCACCUGGCGCCCGGCGAGAAAGGUCGCCGAAGGGUUCAUGGGUGCUUCCUCCGCCCCCGGAGAAAGUCGGUGAGCGCAGGGUCACCUUACAAACGCCAUAGGCGCUCCUGCCCGGAGCGGGGGGCGAGCCCCGAACCCCGGAGCCCCGCGCCCUCGGCCAGUCCGAGCAAGCACCCAAACCGCCCGCCCAAAGGAACGCGCCCGCCGGCCCCGCUACGGCGUCGCCGAGGAGCCAAUACCGGCUCUCGCGAGACCUCAGGUGCGCCGUCCUGGCUCUCGCGCGGGCCGGUCCGGGGGCUGCAGGCUCUGGGAAGGUGUAUCUGCGGUAGGUGAGGUCCACCAGCUACGGUCAGCAAAGAAAAGGUUCUUCACCGCUACCCAGCGAACCAGGGCUUAUAUUAAAGGCCGUUCCUGCCCGUCACCCCAGUUUAUGACGGUUGACCUGCUCACUUCUCUCCGGUCUCGUCCGCGGGCACUGAGAACGGUGCCUGGCCAUUCACAGGAAUGCUUGGACGGACGCAGACGCCAGCCCCGGGAGUCAGAUGCUGGCCAGCCAGCAGACAGCCCGAAACGAACCAACAGAUGGCGGGGAGAG
rnacentral:lncRNA from 1 species